rnacentral:rRNA from 1 species
GUGCCAGCAGCCCGCGGUAAUACGGAGGAUGCGAGCGUUAUCCGGAUUUAUUGGGUUUAAANGGGUGCGCAGGCGGGAUUUUAAGUCAGCGGUGAAAUUUUCAGGCUCAACCUGAACACUGCCGUUGAAAACUGGGAUUCUUGAGUAUGGAUGAAGUAGGCGGAAUUCGUUGUGUAGCGGUGACAUGCUUAGAUAUAACGAGGAACUCCGAUUGCGUAGGCAGCUUACUAAGCCAUAACUGACGCUCAAGCACGAAAGCGUGGGGAUCAAACAGGAUUAGAUACCCUGGUAGUCC